rnacentral:tRNA from 1 species
GGGCGCUUGGUCUAGGGGUAUGAUUUUCGCUUCGCACUUCCUCAGGAACGCGCAUUUGUGAAAGGUCGUGGGUUCAAUUCCCACAGUGUCCA